rnacentral:tRNA from 1 species
GGGGCUGUCACUGAGUGGUAAGAGUGCUGGUCUAGCAUGCAAGAAGCCCUGGGUUCAAUCCCCAGCACCA